ensembl:lncRNA
AUGGGGCUUUUUUUCUUGUUUCUAACUCUGCCAUCACAUGUAGCCUACCUGGUACAUUGUACAGUACAAAAACACCGCUAGCCAAACACAGCGGUCUACUUGCCAGGUGUGCAAUUGAAUGGAAGGGCAACUACACUUGCCAAAGAAUUGUUCCCAGACCUCCAAAGUGGUCUUGUGAUUUGAUUUUUAAGCUUAAAGCAUCAAAUUUGUGUCGUUUUUUUCUCAUUUAAAAGUGUGGUUUUUGAGAGUGAAUUUGGGAAACUCUGAAACCGAGAAAACAUUUAACUGGGAAAAUGAAAUUUGCCAAAAGAGAACUGAUUUUAUAGGGUCCUACAACUGUAGAGUGACCAAAACAAUAUAACACCCUUUUUCAGAAUGCACAAAGGUUUUAUUUUCUCCUCCCAAAACAAUCAAUGUAAAAAUGUAAUUAUUUGUAUAUGGAGGCUAGGUUAUCAUAGGCUACAUACUUAGCCCGCAAAUUACAGGAAACAUUUUAAAUAAUGCACACAUCAUCCGCUUUCCCAGGCCAGUAAUUCUUUUCAUUAUAGGCCAGUAGUUUUCAGUUGUGUGUCGCUGGCAAAUUUACCUGACUGUCAAACUCUGCAAGGACAUGCUAAUUUAAAAGAGGGCUAGUUUAUUUAUUAGUCUGGUUCUGGAUGGUUCUGGAUGGUUCUGGAUGGAGUACAGGUACACGGGUCAGAAAAAAAUGUGUGCAACCAAAUCAUGUGAAUAAAUCACCAACUGAAUAAAUUAGUUGUAGCAGUGCCACCAGUGGAAAAAGUUGGUUAGGAAAACUCAUGACCUAACCAUGUUUCUCUGGCUGUUUCAGGGUCGGUUAGAGUCGACAUUCCCAAGAUGCUGGAGUUGUUCCAGACUGGGCAUGAGUAUAUAGUGGAGAAGGAACUCUGUCAUCACUACGGUAGGAACGCGGUAAGUAUGAAGGAACACUGUCAUCACUACGGAAGGAACGGUAAGUAUGAAGGCACACUGUCAUCACUACGGUAGGAACGGUAAGUAUGAAGGAACACUGUCAUCACUACGGUAGGAACGGUAAGUCUGAAGGAACACUGUCAUCACUACGGUAGGAACGGUAAGUAUGAAGGCACACUGUCAUCACUACGGUAGGAACGGUAAGUAUGAAGGAACACUGUCAUCACUACGGUAGGAACGCGGUAAGUCUGAAGGAACACUGUCAUCACUACGGUAGGAACGGUAAGUAUGAAGGCACACUGUCAUCACUACGGUAGGAACGGUAAGUAUGAAGGCACACUGUCAUCACUACGGUAGGAACGGUAAGUAUGAAGGCACACUGUCAUCGCUACGGUAGGAACGGUAAGUAUGAAGGAACACUGUCAUCACUACGGUAGGAACGGUAAGUAUGAAGGCACACUGUCAUCACUACGGUAGGAACGGUAAGUAUGAAGGCACACUGUCAUCACUACGGUAGGAACGGUAAGUAUGAAGGCACACUGUCAUCACUACGGUAGGAACGGUAAGUAUGAAGGCACACUCAUCGCUACGGUAGGAACGGUAAGUAUGAAGGCACACUCAUCGCUACGGUAGGAACGGUAAGUAUGAAGGCAUUACGGAACGACCUACAGUAUAAUCACCACAACGUUAAAGCAUACUGGUAAUCCUCACAAAUGUCUGUCAGAUUAUCCAAGGUUAAGAGAAUUAAUCCAAGGUUAAGAGAAUUAAUCCAAGGUUAAGAGAAUUAAUCCAAGGUUAAGAGAAUGCCAAGAGUGUGCAAAGCUGCCAUCAAGGCAAAGGGUGGCUAUUUGAAGAAUCUCAAAUAUGAAAUAUUUUUUAUCCAAGUACCUCCCAGCGCAUCGUUGUUCGUAACAUGACAUGUACCUAUACUAAGAGUAACUACGGUGUAAUUUAUUAAUGAACUGAUAGUAACAAUAGAACAUAGUUGUAGGAGCCAUUUUGGCCUGUUUAUGAGUUGUGGAAAUGUUCUCUGUUAUUUCUUUAUUUGUUUUCUACACUAGAGGGCACUAUAUGUUGGGGUCAUGGG